AGUGAGAUGCAAAAGGCCUGUCGUUUUACUUGUUGAAGGUUUUAUUUCCUUUGCUCCUUCUCUCUGUCUAAAACCCACAUUGGAAUCAUCUCUUUUUUCUAUUUUUAUCACCUAAAAUUAUUACAAUCUACUUCAUCAAGUCGCCAAAGAAUUGAAGUACUUUAGAUAUCAUUCACCAAAUAAAUCAAGAUCUGAUUUACAAGUGUUUCACCACCACUUAAGGCGGGAUUCGGUUGACCACACAGCAACAACGGCUAUAGUUCGAUUUUUCUUUUUCUUUUUACGGCAUAGUUCGAUUUUCUUCUUCAAUUAUUCAAAGGAAGUUUCAAUAAGACGGGAAAAACUAAUGGCCCUAAAAUUUGAUGAAUGAAGGGAGAGGCAAGGCUACGCUGGUGGUCUAAGCUUGCGGAAGCGGUGGAUUCGUACUAUGGUUUGCAGGUGCCCCGAAUCAUGGUUGGGUGAUUGAUUAAGCAGAGAUGUGCAUAUGCUAAACAGAAAUCUCACUUGGAAAUAGUACUCAAGCUCCAUAUUGAUGCAACUAUAUUUGUAAUUUUUAGUGAAGUUAAAUAAUUUUAUUUUUAUUAUUAUGAUUCAAUCUAAUUUAUGUUGAUUUUGAUUGUAUAUCAUGAAUUCUAUUUAGUCCAAUGUUAUUCCGCCAAUUUGAAUUCAACAUAAAAAUACAAAUUUCAAAUGCGAAUUGUACGUAUGAAAUGUAAUUUAUUUUUUUUAAUUUUCAAAAAUACAACAAAGAGACCCAUUAUCUAACGUAACAGG